AUUGCCCUAGUAACGGCGAGUGAAGCGGCAACAGCUCAAAUUUGAAAUCUGGCCCUCGGGUCCGAGUUGUAAUUUGUAGAGGAUGCUUUUGGUGCGGUGCCUUCCGAGUUCCCUGGAACGGGACGCCAUAGAGGGUGAGAGCCCCGUCUGGUUGGAUACCAAUCCUCUGUAAAGCUCCUUCGACGAGUCGAGUAGUUUGGGAAUGCUGCUCUAAAUGGGAGGUAUAUGUCUUCUAAAGCUAAAUAUUGGCCAGAGACCGAUAGCGCACAAGUAGAGUGAUCGAAAGAUGAAAAGCACUUUGAAAAGAGAGUUAAACAGUACGUGAAAUUGUUGAAAGGGAAGCGCUUGUGACCAGACUUGGGCUUGGUUAAUCAUCCAGCGUUCUCGCUGGUGCACUUUUCCAGCUCAGGCCAGCAUCAGUUCGUCGCGGGGGAUAAAGGCUUCGGGAAUGUGGCUCCUCCGGGAGUGUUAUAGCCCGUUGCGUAAUACCCUGCGGUGGACUGAGGUUCGCGCUCCGCAAGGAUGCUGGCGUAAUGGUCAUCAGCGACCCGUCUUGAAACACGGACCAAGGAGUCGUCUUCGUAUGCGAGUGUUCGGGUGUUAAACCCCUACGCGUAAUGAAAGUGAACGCAGGUGAGAGCUUCGGCGCAUCAUCGACCGAUCCUGAUGUUCUCGGACGGAUUUGAGUAAGAGCAUACGGGGCCGGACCCGAAAGAAGGUGAACUAUGCCUGUAUAGGGUGAAGCCAGAGGAAACUCUGGUGGAGGCUCGCAGCGGUUCUGACGUGCAAAUCGAUCGUCAAAUAUGGGCAUGGGGGCGAAAGACUAAU
rnacentral:rRNA from 1 species